UUUAUGGACUUAUCAGUUAUAUUUAUAGUCUUAAAUGAGAUUCUGAAAUGUCCGGACUGUGGGAAAGCAAUGAACUCACAUUCGGAAGCAGACUGCGGAAACUAAAAACCUCGAACAAAGGGAGAAAACUCUCGGAUGGUAAAGGUUUUUCUGGAAAAGGUCGGCUAACUACGCAAAAGAUGGACAUUCUUCGAAACUAUUAUGGUUUGGCAAUAAGGGGAAACCUUAAUAGUGUUAAAGAAAUGGCCAAAGCUGCUAGGGCAUCUCUUUUCCAUGUUGCCUCCUCAGAGAAGAAUCCUCAGCAUCACCUGUGUCCAAAAGGAAAAGAUAGUUGGUGUGGCUACCUAAGAGAUCACACCACCUACCAACACAAGACUGGUAUUCCUGGGCCCAUAGUAGAACUGAUUGAGCCAAUAUUCAAUGAUCUAACUGACCCAGAUUUGUUGAAGAAAUGUACACAUGGAUUGACACAGAAUCCGAACGAGUGUUUGAAUGGACUCAUUUGGGACAGAUCUCCCAAGACUACAUAUGUUGAGCAAGAAACUGUCUCCUUAGCGACAUAUUUGGCAGUGUUGAAGUUUAAUGGUGGAGACAUAGAUCUCCUAUAUUAACAUUUUUCAUGAUUUAGACAUAAUGCUUGGGGUAUUUACGACCAAAGGUGCGCAAGACUCCGACAAAGCCAGGAUAAAGUUAUCAGUCCAAAAGAAUUCCAAACAAAAAUUUUAAAAAUGAACCGAUGAUAGUGAAUGCGUGGCAUCAAAUUCUAGACGAUCUGAGAGCUGUUGGGUUACAGGAACAGUUGAGGAGCUCAAGGCCAAAAUGAAAAACCUUAGAGAUGUAUACGUCAGAUACAAAAAGAAAAACGAUGCUGCCAUAAAAUCAGGAGCUCCAGCUUUAUCCACACCAUCAUGGGAGUUUUGGGGUUUGAUGACAAUGGUUGGACGAUCACAGAAAGCGUGAACGAACAUCAACUAACAUGUAUGUCACUGUGAUUGAAGAUGAAUCAGUCAUUGAAAAAUUUCUUUCUAAAAUUAUUUUUAUUGCUCUGUUGGAAUGAUGUAACAUUCAUAUCAGUAGAACGUCGGUUCUCUUGUAAAUAUAGUCUUGACGAUGAACCUGUAACAAAUUCAAAGUAUAACUAUUCAAAUAAAAAAUUGUCUUGUUUCCUUCCCAAA